rnacentral:rRNA from 2 species
UUAAGCGACUAAGCGUACACGGUGGAUGCCCUGGCAGUCAGAGGCGAUGAAGGACGUGCUAAUCUGCGAAAAGCGCCGGCGAGGUGAUAUGAACCUUUGACCCGGCGAUGUCCGAAUGGGGAAACCCAGUGUGUUCCGACACACUAUCGUUAACUGAAUACAUAGGUUAACGAGGCGAACCGGGGGAACUGAAACAUCUAAGUACCCCGAGGAAAAGAAAUCAACCGAGAUUCCCCCAGUAGCGGCGAGCGAACGGGGAGCAGCCCGGAGUCUGAAUCAGCUUGUGUGUUAGUGGAACGGUCUGGAAAGUCCGACGGUACAGGGUGAUAGUCCCGUACACGAAAAUGCACAUGCUGUGAACUCGAAGAGUAGGGCGGGACACGUGGUAUCCUGUCUGAAUAUGGGGGGACCAUCCUCCAAGGCUAAAUACUCCUGACUGACCGAUAGUGAACCAGUACCGUGAGGGAAAGGCGAAAAGAACCCCGGCGAGGGGAGUGAAAAAGAACCUGAAACCGUGUACGUACAAGCAGUGGGAGCACCUUCGGGUGUGACUGCGUACCUUUUGUAUAAUGGGUCAGCGACUUAUAUUCUGUAGCAAGGUUAACCGUAUAGGGGAGCCGAAGGGAAACCGAGUCUUAACUGGGCGUUAAGUUGCAGGGUAUAGACCCGAAACCCGGUGAUCUAGCCAUGGGCAGGUUGAAGGUUGGGUAACACUAACUGGAGGACCGAACCGACUAAUGUUGAAAAAUUAGCGGAUGACCUGUGGCUGGGGGUGAAAGGCCAAUCAAACCGGGAGAUAGCUGGUUCUCCCCGAAAGCUAUUUAGGUAGCGCCUCGUGAACUCAUCUUCGGGGGUAGAGCACUGUUUCGGCUAGGGGGCCAUCCCGGCUUACCAACCCGAUGCAAACUACGAAUACCGAAGAAUGUUAUCACGGGAGACACACGGCGGGUGCUAACGUCCGUCGUGAAGAGGGAAACAACCCAGACCGCCAGCUAAGGUCCCAAAGUCAUGGUUAAGUGGGAAACGAUGUGGGAAGGCACAGACAGCCAGGAUGUUGGCUUAGAAGCAGCCAUCAUUUAAAGAAAGCGUAAUAGCUCACUGGUCGAGUCGGCCUGCGCGGAAGAUGUAACGGGGCUAAACCAUGCACCGAAGCUGCGGCAGCGACGCUUAUGCGUUGUUGGGUAGGGGAGCGUUCUGUAAGCCGUUGAAGGUGUGCUGUGAGGCAUGCUGGAGGUAUCAGAAGUGCGAAUGCUGACAUAAGUAACGAUAAAGCGGGUGAAAAGCCCGCUCGCCGGAAGACCAAGGGUUCCUGUCCAACGUUAAUCGGGGCAGGGUGAGUCGACCCCUAAGGCGAGGCCGAAAGGCGUAGUCGAUGGGAAACAGGUUAAUAUUCCUGUACUUGGUGUUACUGCGAAGGGGGGACGGAGAAGGCUAUGUCAGCCGGGCGACGGUUGUCCCGGUUUAAGCAUGUAGGCGGAGGUUCCAGGUAAAUCCGGUACCUUAUUAACGCUGAGGUGUGAUGACGAGGCACUACGGUGCUGAAGUGAUAAAUGCCCUGCUUCCAGGAAAAGCCUCUAAGCAUCAGGUAACACGAAAUCGUACCCCAAACCGACACAGGUGGUCAGGUAGAGAAUACCAAGGCGCUUGAGAGAACUCGGGUGAAGGAACUAGGCAAAAUGGUGCCGUAACUUCGGGAGAAGGCACGCUGAUAUGUAGGUGAAGCCCCUGCGGGCGGAGCUGAAAUCAGUCGAAGAUACCAGCUGGCUGCAACUGUUUAUUAAAAACACAGCACUGUGCAAACACGAAAGUGGACGUAUACGGUGUGACGCCUGCCCGGUGCCGGAAGGUUAAUUGAUGGGGUUAGCGGCAACGCGAAGCUCUUGAUCGAAGCCCCGGUAAACGGCGGCCGUAACUAUAACGGUCCUAAGGUAGCGAAAUUCCUUGUCGGGUAAGUUCCGACCUGCACGAAUGGCGUAAUGAUGGCCAGGCUGUCUCCACCCGAGACUCAGUGAAAUUGAACUCGCUGUGAAGAUGCAGUGUACCCGCGGCAAGACGGAAAGACCCCGUGAACCUUUACUAUAGCUUGACACUGAACACUGGUCCUUGAUGUGUAGGAUAGGUGGGAGGCUUUGAAGCGUGGACGCCAGUCUGCGUGGAGCCGCCCUUGAAAUACCACCCUUUAAUGGCUGGUGUUCUAACGUAGACCCGUGAUCCGGGUUGCGGACAGUGUCUGGUGGGUAGUUUGACUGGGGCGGUCUCCUCCCAAAGAGUAACGGAGGAGCACGAAGGUUGGCUAAUCCUGGUCGGACAUCAGGAGGUUAGUGCAAUGGCAUAAGCCAGCUUGACUGCGAGCGUGACGGCGCGAGCAGGUGCGAAAGCAGGUCAUAGUGAUCCGGUGGUUCUGAAUGGAAGGGCCAUCGCUCAACGGAUAAAAGGUACUCCGGGGAUAACAGGCUGAUACCGCCCAAGAGUUCAUAUCGACGGCGGUGUUUGGCACCUCGAUGUCGGCUCAUCACAUCCUGGGGCUGAAGUAGGUCCCAAGGGUAUGGCUGUUCGCCAUUUAAAGUGGUACGCGAGCUGGGUUUAGAACGUCGUGAGACAGUUCGGUCCCUAUCUGCCGUGGGCGCUGGAGAAUUGAGGGGGGCUGCUCCUAGUACGAGAGGACCGGAGUGGACGCAUCACUGGUGUUCGGGUUGUCAUGCCAAUGGCACUGCCCGGUAGCUAAAUGCGGAAGAGAUAAGUGCUGAAAGCAUCUAAGCACGAAACUUGCCCCGAGAUGAGUUCUCCCUGAGACUUUAAGUCUCCUGAAGGAACGUUGAAGACGACGACGUUGAUAGGUCGGGUGUGUAAGCGCAGCGAUGCGUUGAGCUAACCGAUACUAAUGAACCGUGAGGCUUAACCUU